ACAAAAUACACAGGCAGGUAAAUGAUUGUAGCUCUUAGCUUUUAGAGACAAGAAUGAACUCAUGUUUUUUGUUUUUAAUUGUUCCUAAUUCAUUUAUGUUAUUUUUUUUUUUGCAGCACUUAAGAUAAACUCUCUCAAAAGUCCAAAUAUCCUGCGUUACUUAAUGUUCUUUGAAAACUUUUUAAUCAAAAGUAAAGCGUUCAGCCAUUUCUUAAGAGUAGGAGUCAUAUUCUUGAAGGAGUGGAGAGCUUGAUUUGGAACAAGAUCUCAUGUGAAGCUGUCAACACCUCCCAGCACCUGCCAACAGUAACACUGACAUGUGUCCUCACUCACCCACUCUCUUGGAUAUUGGUCCAUCAUUAGUUCAAAUUUUGUUCUAGCUAUCAUUUUGGAAAGGGAGGUGUUUGUUUCAGGGGAGCGAGGAAAAAAAGAAAAAUCUUGGUUUGAGACAUGCUUGCUGUUUCCAACUUUUGUGAGCAACUACAAGGAAGUAAAGCUUUGUGACAAGUAAUUGCUGUAGCAGUUCAGGCUGUUCCCUCCCCCAGCUGGGUCGUUCCACAUCUGAGACCUGCCUGUGGUCGUAUUUUUCCUUCUGGCAGUCAUAUUCUCACAGCCGGAGGGUGGUCUUGCUCAGGAGAUCCAUUCAACGCUGAUCAGAGGUAACAGUCAGCCGUUAAUGGAAGCCAUAAAACAAUACCGCUCCCACAUCAUCGGGUUAGAUUAUAAAGAUGGCUGCACCUGCCGCUCAGUCAUGAGCGCUGCCACACCUUGCCGAAGAUUUAGCAGAUGUUAAUUGCGGUGGGUUUUGAAUUACUGCGCCUCUCCACACUAUUCCUCUCAGUCCUCGCUGCUUCAGUGAUUAGUCUCACGGAUCUAAAAAUGUGACGGUGCACUUUUUGAGAAAUUGUGUUAAUUUGCUUCAGCUGACAGGGUGCGAACUCCGCUGCUGCUGCUGCCUGGAGGAAAAGCUCCCUCCUUUAAAACUCAAGGUCAAGGGCAUCCAUCCCAAAACCACUCUCGCAGAUAUAGAGACAAAAACAAGAUUUGGACUACAGAAAUGGAACAGAAGGACGUUGCAGAAAUGUUGGUGUAAAGUGUGAAUAAAGAGGACCAGGACCAAUAUACCAACCAACACUGCUCCUUCCCUGAAAGAGAAGUAUUUAGAGCUGGACGGGGAUUAGUGGAAAGGAAGAAGGAAGGUAGGAGGCGAGUAAUGGUGUAAUAGGGCUCUCAUUCCCCCAGACAAGACCUCAACAUCGCCACCACUGUCACUACGGAAACCCGCCUAACAAGCUGAAUUUCCAUUCAACUCAAGCUGGAAGUCACACACCUAACUUCUCACCUCUCCUGCCUCGUUUCAAGCAUUUUGUUUGCUUGCUUACUUUGCUGGACUGUUAAACUAAAGUUAUUUUAGUUCCACUUUUGUGUAAUCAUAAAUGUGCCAUUGUGCACACACAUCUUACCGCACUUCCCACUCGUCUUGACUGCUCACUUGAAGCCAAAUUUGACAUUUUUAUUUUAUUCAGUCUCUAUUUAUAAAGAGUGGGUUGGCUAAGCACGCAUGCUUUUUAACAGCAGUGGAAUGACGGGAACCAAAACAGGUUCGCUGUGGUAAUGGGCAGUUUAACAAGCGACAGUGUACCUACAAAAUUAUUUGUGUUAAUCACAACUUUUUAAAGCCUUUUCCAAAAAAUGAUUGGCGAACGCAAUCGAGAGCGCAGUUUGCAACAAAACUAAGGUUUAUUAAGAAAAUAGAAAAGUGGUAAUAUGGUAUUUAUUUCCAAAUUAACCAAGAAAAUAAUAUUUGGAUUCUGUGUUCUUGGUUUUUCUGGAUAUUUUUCACAUCUAAACAAAAAAGAAUAUCAAACAGCUCAUUUCAAAUGAACUGCUUUUUAUAUUUUAAUUAAUUGGAUUAGUUGGAACUUCUGUAGUGUAGUGACUCUAUGCAAGCCUGAGAUUUCUUUUUCUUUGUGCCCCUCCUUGGUCUGCCCAAGUGAGAAUACAGCGGGGAUAUAACUUGUUUGACAAGGGGACCUUUACUUCCAACCUCCCUGCUGCUUCACUCAACAUACACCUAACACCAAGACUGGCCAGAAUAACUUAUUGAUCUCCUGGUCUCAGAUUCAAACCCAAUCCAACAUUUGGGACAGUGGGAAAAGUGUUUGCUACCCCCUGCAUUAACAAUGUGUCCCACUGAAGGCCAGUGUGUGUGUGUGUGUGUGUGUGUGUGUGUGUGUGUGUGUGUAUAAACAGUGGUGGCGAGGCCAGUGAGUGUUAUGGUGAAGGAAAGAUUAAUAAUGACAUCCACAGAAAUGGCUGGUCUCCUGUGUGACUCGCUGCACUAAUAAAAAUCGGCUAACUCUUGUUUAAGAGAGGAGAUUGUAUUGAUUUUUGUUUCAUGAGUGUGUGUGCAUGCAUUUGUGUGU